rnacentral:rRNA from 1 species
ACUUAAAUUGAAGAGUUUGAUCAUGGCUCAGAUUGAACGCUGGCGGCAGGCCUAACACAUGCAAGUCGAGCGGUAGCACAGAGAGCUUGCUCUCGGGUGACGAGCGGCGGACGGGUGAGUAAUGUCUGGGAAACUGCCUGAUGGAGGGGGAUAACUACUGGAAACGGUAGCUAAUACCGCAUAAUGUCGCAAGACCAAAGUGGGGGACCUUCGGGCCUCAUGCCAUCAGAUGUGCCCAGAUGGGAUUAGCUAGUAGGUGGGGUAACGGCUCACCUAGGCGACGAUCCCUAGCUGGUCUGAGAGGAUGACCAGCCACACUGGAACUGAGACACGGUCCAGACUCCUACGGGAGGCAGCAGUGGGGAAUAUUGCACAAUGGGCGCAAGCCUGAUGCAGCCAUGCCGCGUGUGUGAAGAAGGCCUUCGGGUUGUAAAGCACUUUCAGCGGGGAGGAAGGCGGUGAGGUUAAUAACCUCACCGAUUGACGUUACCCGCAGAAGAAGCACCGGCUAACUCCGUGCCAGCAGCCGCGGUAAUACGGAGGGUGCAAGCGUUAAUCGGAAUUACUGGGCGUAAAGCGCACGCAGGCGGUCUGUCAAGUCGGAUGUGAAAUCCCCGGGCUCAACCUGGGAACUGCAUUCGAAACUGGCAGGCUAGAGUCUUGUAGAGGGGGGUAGAAUUCCAGGUGUAGCGGUGAAAUGCGUAGAGAUCUGGAGGAAUACCGGUGGCGAAGGCGGCCCCCUGGACAAAGACUGACGCUCAGGUGCGAAAGCGUGGGGAGCAAACAGGAUUAGAUACCCUGGUAGUCCACGCCGUAAACGAUGUCGAUUUGGAGGUUGUGCCCUUGAGGCGUGGCUUCCGGAGCUAACGCGUUAAAUCGACCGCCUGGGGAGUACGGCCGCAAGGUUAAAACUCAAAUGAAUUGACGGGGGCCCGCACAAGCGGUGGAGCAUGUGGUUUAAUUCGAUGCAACGCGAAGAACCUUACCUGGUCUUGACAUCCACAGAACUUUCCAGAGAUGGAUUGGUGCCUUCGGGAACUGUGAGACAGGUGCUGCAUGGCUGUCGUCAGCUCGUGUUGUGAAAUGUUGGGUUAAGUCCCGCAACGAGCGCAACCCUUAUCCUUUGUUGCCAGCGGU